AGUGAACGCUGGCGGUAGGCCUACACAUGCAAGUCGAACGGCAGCACAGUAAGAGCUUGCUCUUACGGGUGGCGAGUGGCGGACGGGUGAGGAAUACAUCGGAAUCUACUUUUUCGUGGGGGAUAACGUAGGGAAACUUACGCUAAUACCGCAUACGACCUACGGGUGAAAGCAGGGGAUCUUCGGACCUUGCGCGAUUGAAUGAGCCGAUGUCGGAUUAGCUAGUUGGCGGGGUAAAGGCCCACCAAGGCGACGAUCCGUAGCUGGUCUGAGAGGAUGAUCAGCCACACUGGAACUGAGACACGGUCCAGACUCCUACGGGAGGCAGCAGUGGGGAAUAUUGGACAAUGGGCGCUAGCCUGAUCCAGCCAUACCGCGUGGGUGAAGAAGGCCUUCGGGUUGUAAAGCCCUUUUGUUGGGAAAGAAAAGCAGCAGGUUAAUACCCCGCUGUUCUGACGGUACCCAAAGAAUAAGCACCGGCUAACUUCGUG
rnacentral:rRNA from 1 species